rnacentral:rRNA from 1 species
GAUGAACGCUGGCGGCGUGCCUAAUACAUGCAAGUCGAGCGAACAGACGAGGAGCUUGCUCCUCUGACGUUAGCGGCGGACGGGUGAGUAACACGUGGAUAACCUACCUAUAAGACUGGGAUAACUUCGGGAAACCGGAGCUAAUACCGGAUAAUAUAUUGAACCGCAUGGUUCAAUAGUGAAAGACAGUUUUGCUGUCACUUAUAGAUGGAUCCGCGCCGCAUUAGCUAGUUGGUAAGGUAACGGCUUACCAAGGCAACGAUGCGUAGCCGACCUGAGAGGGGGAUCGGCCAAACUGGAACUGAGAAACGGUCAAGAAGCCUACGGGAGGCAGAAGUAGGAAAUUUGCCGCAAUGGGCGAAAGCUUGACGGAGCAACGCCGGGUGAGUGAUGAAGGUCUUCGGAUCGUAAAACUCUGUUAUAAGGGAAGAAAAAAUGGGAAAGUAACUAUGCACGUCUGGACGGUACCUAAUCAGAAAGCCACGGCUAACUACGU